rnacentral:misc_RNA from 1 species
GGUGGGGCUCGAGGGGAGGGGAGAGGAUGCCGAUCUGGGGCUGGGCGGGGGCAGGCGUCCGGGGUUGUGGGCGGGGCGAGUGAUAGAGAGACGGCUGUGAGAGACUGGGGACGGAGACGAGGACCGGCUUGCCCUGGCGGGCGUGGGCCUCAGUGCCAUAGACGGCGAGGAGGACGGCCUCGAAGCCGGCAAGGGAGGGGGGAUCGGGGGAGAGGACGCGGGUGAGGUAGAGGGAGGAGAUGAGUGGGAGGAAGGAGAGGACGACGAGGCGGAUGUCCG